CCCAUCUACCCAGAACAAGCCCUCUCUUCGCAGCGGUGCACUUCUGCUUUAGGACCGGCGGGCUCUGUUGCCUGGACCUCACGCUGCCUGCAGCAAAGCUUUUUGACUCUUCCACACCUCUUCUCCGGGAACUCUUUUCUACUAUCUCAGAAAAUCAAAUUCCCUCCUGAGACUAUUCACACAGAAUUUCCUUAGGAGCCGUGCGGGGUCAUGACCCUUGUAAUUAAGAAAUUCUCGAAGACAAUAUUGAGCAUGAUUCAGGAGAAAAUGUGAUUUGAGUCUGGAGACAAUUGUGCAUGUAUAUUUUUCUUAAGAUCUUAAAAAGAAAGAGAAAACAAAUCCAGGGUUGUCGGUCACUGAUUGAUAGAAGAGAAAACAAUAUUCAGACGAUUGCUUAUGAUUGACAAGAGCAGCUGCGGCCGCUACCCAGCUUGAACAUAUCGCACACUUCAGUUGGACUCUAAUGAUGGAUAAAAAGUGUACACUAUGUUUUCUGUUUCUCUUGCUUCUUAAUAUGGCUCUCAUCGCAGCAGAGUCGGAAGAAGGCGCGAACCAAACAGACUUGGGAGUCACUAGGAACAAGAUCAUGACGGCUCAGUAUGAAUGUUACCAAAAGAUCAUGCAGGAUCCCAUUCAACAAGGAGAAGGCCUUUACUGCAACAGAACCUGGGACGGAUGGCUAUGCUGGAAUGACGUUGCAGCAGGAACCGAGUCAAUGCAGUACUGCCCUGAUUACUUUCAAGAUUUUGAUCCUUCAGGUAGAUACU
rnacentral:lncRNA from 1 species